UACGUAGGGGGCAAGCGUUGUCCGGAAUUAUUGGGCGUAAAGAGUGCGUAGGCGGUGUCCUAAGUUUGUUGUGAAAUCUCCCGGCUUAACCGGGAGGGUGCGGCGAAGACUGGGAUGCUGGAGUGCGGGAGAGGGAUGCAGAAUUCCAGGUGUAGCGGUGAAAUGCGUAGAUAUCUGGAGGAAUACCGGUGGCGAAGGCGGCAUCCUGGACCGGCAUUGACGCUGAGGAGCGAAAGCUAGGGGAGCAAACGGG
rnacentral:rRNA from 1 species